AGCGAACGUUAGCGGCGGGCCUAACACAUGCAAGUCGAACGCGAAAGGUCUUCGGACUGAGUAGAGUGGCGCACGGGUGAGUAACACGUAGGUAAUCUACCCUUUGGCGGGGGAUAACGUUCCGAAAGGAGCGCUAAUACCGCAUAAGACCACGGUAGUCUCCGGACGCCGUGGGAAAAGGUGGCCUCUUCUUGAAAGCUACCACCGAAGGAUGAGCCUGCGUCCCAUCAGCUAGUUGGUAAGGUAAUGGCUUACCAAGGCGAAGACGGGUAGCUGGUUUGAGAGAAUGAUCAGCCACACUGGCACUGGAACACGGGCCAGACUCCUACGGGAGGCAGCAGUGGGGAAUAUUGCGCAAUGGGCGAAAGCCUGACGCAGCCACGCCGCGUGAGCGAUGAAGGUCUUCGGAUCGUAAAGCUCUGUGGGGGGAGAAGAAGAAAGCCGGUGAAGAGCCGGCCCUGACGGUAUCCCCUUAGCAAGCACCGGCUAACUCCGUGCCAGCAGCCGACGG
rnacentral:rRNA from 1 species